UAACCAUGGUGUGGGCAGAAGCGACUCCAUGCUUCACGAAAAGAUUCAAUAUUCUUUUGAUAAAAAUUAGAAAUCUCAGCUCUUAAUUC
rnacentral:snoRNA from 1 species